ACGAACGCUGGCGGCGUGCUUAACACAUGCAAGUCGAGCGGUAAGGCCCUUUCGGGGUACGACGAGCGGCGAACGGGUGAGUAACACGUGGGUGACCUGCCCUCCAGCUCUGGGAUAAGCCUGGGAAACCGGGUCUAAUACCGGAUAUGACUCCAUGACGCAUGUUGUGGGGUGGAAAGCCUUGUGCGGCUGAGGAUGGGCCCGCGGCCUAUCAGCUUGUUGGUGGGGUGAUGGCCUACCAAGGCGACGACGGUAGCCGGCCUGAGAGGGCGACCGGCCGACACUGGGACUGAGACACGGCCCAGACUCCUA
rnacentral:rRNA from 1 species